CCAGACUCCUACGGGAGGCAGCAGUGGGGAAUAUUGCACAAUGGGGGGAACCCUGAUGCAGCGACGCCGCGUGAGUGAAGAAGUAUUUCGGUAUGUAAAGCUCUAUCAGCAGGGAAGAAAAUGACGGUACCUGACUAAGAAGCCCCGGCUAACUACGUGCCAGCAGCCGCGGUAAUACGUAGGGGGCAAGCGUUAUCCGGAUUUACUGGGUGUAAAGGGGGCGCAGACGGCGAUGCAAGCCAGGAGUGAAAGCCCGGGGCCCGACCCCGGGACUGCUCUUGGAACUGCGUGGCUGGAGUGCAGGAGGGGCAGGCGGAAUUCCUGGUGUAGCGGUGAAAUGCGUAGAUAUCAGGAGGAACACCGGUGGCGAAGGCGGCCUGCUGGACCGUAACUGACGUUGAGGCUCGAAAGCGUGGGGAGCAAACAGGAUUAGAUACCCCAGUACC
rnacentral:rRNA from 1 species